UCCCGAUUAGCUCAGUCGGUAGAGCGUCAGACUUUUAGCACGAAGUCUCCGAGAAACAACUUACUCGGAAUUGUAGUUUAAUCUGAAUGUCAGGGGUUCGAGCCCCCUAUUGGGAG
rfam:Sporisorium reilianum SRZ2 chromosome 14 complete DNA sequence